GCCGCAAUAGCUCAGUUGGUAGAGCACGUCAUUCGUAAUGACGGGGUCGGGGGUUCGAAUCCCUCUUGCGGCA
rnacentral:tRNA from 7 species